CAAUUGACAGCCAAAUUUAGUUUUGCAGAUGGAUUAAAUAAGAUGUUGUUUUAAGUGGAUAAGUGGCUGCUUAUCUCUCAAUUUAUUUUUAUGUCCUCAGGCUGACCCCAUUAUUUAUUCAUCAAAACUGUAAUACUAAACUGAGUUACCAGAAGAGGUUGGAUUUGCUUUUGUUUUCCAUCCUUCACGGACUGAGGGGGCUACAUAUGGCAGAUGCCCUGAAUCCAUCACUCAGGAGGGGCAGCACACCUGGGAGACAUUCAUCUUCUCCAGUAUUGAGCAGCUGACAAAGAUGAGUCCCUACCAGCAGGAUUUGAGGACACUUUGGACCAGUUUAGUGAGAAAGACUUCAUGCAGAGCAUAUACAACCCACUUGCAGGGUAAUUACCUAACUCCUGUAGGAUUUGCACUUUAUAAACCUCCCUAAGUAAAUUCACAAUUUGCACUUUCUGAAGUCAGUAAAAAUAAGUAAAUAUGAGCUAUGGAUUCAUAUCUUGUUCCACUAGAAUAUAUAUGGAGUAUUUGCCACCCUUUGCACAAAUUUGCUGGACAUCAUUACUGUAUAGGACUACUAUGCAUUUAUGUUAAUUAUUAAAGUGCAGCUCAGCAACACACUGGGCCCCAUUCAAAGUGAGACACAGCAACACCUGAUGUUUGUGUGCAAACCACCCCAGAAGGUUUACAAAUUCAAUUAAGAACAAACGCAAUGAGCUGUGGCAGAGAAGAUAAGUGUUAUAUAGGCAGGAAGGCAUUACUUAUAGUGACUAAUCUGCAGGCAUUGCUCAAGUGUCUGUGCCUACAGAAGCAGAGCACGGCAUCCUAUGCAUAGCUAAGGCAUCAAACAUGAGUGCAGGCUCUCUCUCACGGGCUCGUAGCAGGCUUGCACACAGCGUGAACCCUGGGCUCUGCACAUCCCAGGUCCACACCAGUGCCUUUCAAAGUCCUGGUGAAGGCACUGCACCAAAACCUGACCCAUGGGUGAUGCAAAGCAGUGAGCAAGGGUGAACUCGAGAAUAUAGCAUAAGAAGUAGAUGCUGCAAACAAGUCUGAGCACAUCCUUAUGAGCCAGCUAUGAGCUUUUUAGAGGAGAAAGGAGGGCUUCAGCCAGCAUUCAAGUGACCUGCUCACCUCAACAGGAGGAGACCACUGCACAGACCUUCCCUACCAUUCUCAGCACCAAGACCCAGAACGUAUCUGAAGGAUGGUUAUACAGAGAGAAAAAUUAAGAACUAAGAGACAGUAACAGAUCUUUGGCAUGGUCUCUAGCGCUGUUACCAGUUUUGGGUACAACCAGUAACACAUGGGAUGGCAGUCAAUGUUGCAAUGCAUCCAUGUUAGAUAGUAAGACAAGACCUAAACCAUUGGCUGCUUCUGUCCGUAUCCCACCUUCCAUCCUGGGCACUUUUGAUGGGCAUAACAAUACUAACAGUUAAUCACAGAACAGUAAUGACCAGGAAAUAUUUUUGAGUGAUGCUGGGUCACAAUUUUAGUCCUUCUGUUUAAACAGAGUUAUCAAAUACCCCAAUCAAAGCUUUGUUUUGUCUUUAAAGUGUGUGUGGGGAGUCUUUUGUUCAGUGAUGGCUCAGUUCAGCUGUAGCUCUUUUGCUACUCCGCAAGAAGGUUUUUGAGGUUUUGAACAUUUUAGAAACUCCAUAUGAAGACACCUUACUGAGAAUUUGCUAUUAAUACAUUCAUGACAGCUUGCGUUUAAGGAUAGUGCUCCUCUCCACCAAAGCAUUUUUUUGAUACUUUGCCAAAGAAUGGUGGUAUGGAUUUGUCAUAGACCAGCUUGACAGCAAGAUUUAUUCUCUCUAUAUUCCUAUUUUAAAACAAGUGUUAUAGAUGAGAAACACACACACACAAAACCCAUUAUUUUUCAGGAAUGUUUUCAUUUUAACUACAUAUUUCUCUAUAAAAAUACUGUUUAAAUCAGGCUUGAAGGUUUCCUGAGUGGCUUUUUUUAUUAUUUUUAUUUUGCUUUGUUUUGUUGGGUUUGUUUGUUUCCUCCUGAAAUGUUGUCCUGUUAGGAAUAAAAUGAGGAUUCAGUUUUUUCUUUGCAGGAAACUGGAAGCUUCCUCCUUCCAAUCAGCCUUAUUUUUUAUACUGGGUAGAAGAAAUCUACUUUACAUUUUUCCUAGAUAGUGCCCUUCGGGGUGUAUUUGUAGAGUUUCACAACCCCACCCACUGUAUUUUAAAUUGAUACAACUUGUUUUCACACACACACACACUGAUCCAGUUAAAAUGUAAAACCAUUUUGAUGUAUAUAAAGUUAUGAUGUAUCUUAAAGGCUCAGAAAAAACACAAAAAUUUUGAAAACAUAAAAUAGCAUUAAUUCUGAUUAUGGGAAAGCAAACAAACAAAAAAACAUAACUGAUUAAUGCUUUGAUAAGCAGGAGCUCUCCCAGAGAGCUCUGCCUCUGGCUGGUUCACAACGCAGGACAGAGAACACCAACCCCAUGUUUUCCACCAAUGUUGCCUUCCCAGCAUGGUGAGUGAGGACUCCCACACUCGAGCGCUGCAAGGCUAACCCCCACUUAAUUCCUUCACACUUUAGUCUCAAGCACACCCCCAGCCCACUUCAGGCUCCUCCAUCACCCACAUGCCCCAGAACAGCCCCAUGGAGACGUGAGAGGAUAUCUCGUAGCCAGCUCCAGCCUCGAAUACAACCCAAAACACUUCCCUUGAAAGAGCCCUGUUCCCCAAGGAGGGAAAGCAGAGACAAGCUCUCUUUAAAACACGCAGUUCCUUUUCUCUCCUCUCUUUUCCAAAGGGACAUUUGGGGUGCUGCUGCCCCAAGCUAGGGGCUCUCUACCUCUUUCUGCUCUAGCAGCAUGGGAAGGAAAGCCAACCAUUAGCUGAGGACUAUCAUAUUGUCUAUUGUCUUCUGGUCAGAUGCUGUGUUGUGCAGCUACAUAACACCAGAUGCAGUUGGCGCUCAGCCGCACAAUUUUGGUCUCUGUUAUAAUUAAUAAAUACUCAUUAGCAUACCAAAGGAAUUAAACAUUCUCAUCCUAUUCUCAUUACAUCAUAUUAAGACAGAAUAGUCUCUUCCUAACACUGUUUGUAAGCCAGACUUCAAUUUUCUCACUCAGGUUAAAUAGCACCUUGCUCUGUUUUCCCACUGUGGUGAGGCCUCUUUGUGAAGUAAUGUGCCACUCAUUGUAAUUAGCUGAAUCUCAGGCUCUCCUUAUUUGUUAUUGCUAAGCUCUUAGUUUACACCCUGGGUCUUAAUGGUUUUUGGUCAAGAAAUUGUAACCACAGCUUUUCUGAAUAGAGUGAUCCUUGUUGGAAAAACAAAACAAAACGAAACAAAAAUUAAAAUGAAAAAAAUAAUAAUAAUAAAAAAAAAAUGACCACAACCUUGCCUCCACCUCAGAAGGAAGUUCUUGAACCCCAAACCGAAGGAUAAAUCAAAACUACAAAAUUUGAUACACUCUGUCUCAGUACUCCUUUAAAGCCUGAAAAUUCUGCUAAAAUUGAUUUUCCACAAUGCUUUUGCUUUUGUCUUGCAUAAUUCUGAUUACACUGCCAAAUGAUCUUGUUUCUUCAAUCGUAGUCCUCAGCUUCUCUGGUAUAAUGUGUAUUUUUCAUCAGAUGCUCUAUAAAACCUCCCAAAAUAUUUGAUAUUUUGCCAGCAUUCAUUUUCAUUUUACUUCUACAAGCAAUCCUUAUAGAAGCAGAUAAGCCCCUGUGUACAAUUUUCAUUCCAAUUAAAAAUAAUAUCAAUCCAUUAGCCUAAAAAAUGUAGGGUUUAGUAUAGCUAAAAGGGAAGAACAGAUAACUUGACAAUGUAAAUAGCUUUAAAUGUAACAAUUUCUAAUGUUUUUCAAAACAAAAUAUUUCACUGCAACUGCCUAUUUCAAGUGUGGAAUUAUAUUUAACAAUUCAUGUUUUACAACUAUCUGAACUGUAGGUUACAAAUUAAAAUUAAAUACAUGAGUAAAAAUCGAUAAGAAACCAUAUAAUUCUUCAUCAUUUUUGUAACUAACUGGAUAUUCUGGAUUUCCAGUUUUAGUUAAAAGUUUGAAUCAAGCCUUUGAUACAUUUGUCUCUAAGGUUACUAGAUUUUGUUGUUUUUCUUUUUGUUUGUUUGUAUGCACAGCACUUUAUUUCAGAAUGAAAGCUCUGAAUACAGCAACAUAUUUCAAUAAAAUGUCUCUUUACCACACUAUUACUUACUUAGCUCCCUUCUAAUGGUGGUAAAAACCCUCUUAACAAUGGAUCCUAUGCAUUAUUUCAUUUGUCAAAUGUAUGUACCAGGAAAAGGGUGAUAGGUGCCACUGGACACAAAACAAUGCAAUUCUUAGUUUGUUUUACUCUUCAUUCAGAAUAUGAGAUGAUCUGCCCAUUUAUUAAACCAACUCUUCUACAGUAUUAACAGUUUUUCUUUUCCAAUGCAUAUAUUCCCUUUCCUUUAUUCAGUUAUGUUAGAGCAUUUACAGGUGUUGCCGGAGCUGUAAUUUCUGCCAGCUGGUCUAUCAGCUGCAGUGCCUUUGAGUCAGCCACUGAGUGCCCUUACAAAGCUCCCCUUCCUCACCUUUGACUAGUUGGAGAAUAGCAAGACCACCAUAACACUUGUUAUUUUAAAAAAUGUUUUUCUUAUCCCUGAUGUAACAAUUUCAUGUCUUUGCCUAUCAAAUUGCAUUCCUGUUACAGUGUUCCUUUACUAGCAGAGAAGACCCUGAAUCUAGUGCAAGAAUCAAAGCAAGAGGCUUUAGCAGACAGCUCCUCUACAGAAAGCUGCAAAGGCUCUGCCCUGCGUGUAGGACUGGACUAUCCACCUGUAAGAGAUGCAGCCACCUUGGAAGUUGCGACUCUCCUUAGCCAUAUCCACGGGCUUCCAAUCCUCAGAAGCACUCUUGAAAUCGUUCAAAGGGAAAAGAGGAGUGAUCUUAAUGGUACUGAAGGAUGUUUUGCAGAAGAUGUACCAGUAAUCAAUACUGGUGAGGUUCGUCCUUCCCCAGAGGCAACUGACUUGACAGCAGGACUUGAAGUAAAUAUAAAAUGCUAGGAUCACCGCACCUUGCCUAUGUAUGUGUUUUUAGGCUGUGCAAAAGAAACCUGUGUUCAGUCUCUUUGGGUCAGUCUUCCCUUUGUGUCAGUUUCUUCAGUAAUAUCUAACAGACCUGCAAGGAGGGAUACUAGGUCAUACCUUGCAUCCUCUGCAUUUUAUUAAAGGAGUGAACACUCAAUGCUCCCAAUUUUCCAUGGAGAAUCUUUGGCUUCAGAUCAAAUACAAGCUCUUCUGUCUUAAAAGGCACCUUUUCUCAACUAAAUGAAUCUAACUGACUACACACUCAAAAUAAGUGCCAAAGCUGAGAGAACAGAGGUAAUCACCUUCAUUUUCAGACAUGGGUAGAUCUACAUAUGACAAAAACAUAGGAACAACAAGCAGUUGGUUACAGAAAAUCAUAGUAAAUGUUGAUCAAAUUAAGUCAUUAAUAUUUCUGUCUUUGCUGCAAAAGGAUUAAAACACUGAAUUUAAAAUAAUCAGCCUUUUUAUAUACUCAACAACCUGGAAAAUAUAUUCCAAUUGACAUACACUUUCUCCUGAUCCUGUAAUAUAACUGAAGUUUCAAUAUGACCUACAGCUUUCACAGAUUUUGCAAGUCCUUACAGCAGAAAAAGGAUAGAGGAAAUCAAGAAGGUAAAGAUAAGCUCUAAUAAGCAGUAAAUGGAUAUGUUGAUUCCCUAGGUUUCCAUA